rnacentral:piRNA from 1 species
UGUGAUAAACACCGUGACUAGAAACAACUU